GACGAACGCUGGCGGCGUGCUUAACACAUGCAAGUCGAACGAUGAAGCUAGAGCUUGCUCUGGUGGAUUAGUGGCGAACGGGUGAGUAACACGUGAGUAACCUGCCCCGAACUCUGGGAUAACUGCUGGAAACGGUAGCUAAUACUGGAUACGACCAACGAAGGCAUCUUCUGUUGGUGGAAAGAAUUUCGGUUCGGGAUGGACUCGCGGCCUAUCAGCUUGUUGGUGAGGUAACGGCUCACCAAGGCGACGACGGGUAGCCGGCCUGAGAGGGUGAUCGGCCACACUGGGACUGAGACACGGCCCAGACUCCUACGGGAGGCAGCAGUGGGGAAUAUUGUACAAUGGGCGCAAGCCUGAUGCAGCAACGCCGCGUGAGGGACGACGGCCUUCGGGUUGUAAACCUCCUUUAGUAGGGAAGAAGCGAAAGUGACGGUACCUGCAGAAAAAGCACCGGCUAACUACGUGCCAGCAGCCGCGGUAA
rnacentral:rRNA from 1 species